rfam:Bacteroides sp. 43_108 Ley3_66761_scaffold_1321, whole genome shotgun sequence.
GCAGUCGGACGGUCUGUCGCUGGUGCAUGUUUUUGCACGAGAGGAAAGUCCGGGCAGCAUAGGGCGCCCCGCUUCCUAAUGUAGAAGGAGUCUGUGAGGGCUGGUAAGUGUAGAAGAAAAUAACCGCUGAAGCGGCUUCGGUCGCAUUGCAAGGGUGAGAAGGUAGGGUAAGAGCCUACCAGAGGUGUGGUGACACAUCGGCUGUGCACGCCGGGGGCUGCAAGUUCAUGUAAACUGGCGCUUGAGGGUUGCUCGUCCGAGCCAGAGGGUAGAACGCUAGAGCCGUGUGGUGACAUACGGCGUGGAUAAAUGACAGACGCCGUUUCGCAAGAAACGGAACAGAACCCGGCUUAUAGUCCGGCUGCUUUU